UACAGAGGGUGCGAGCGUUGUCCGGAAUCACUGGGCGUAAAGGGCGCGUAGGCGGCUUGAUAAGCGUGCGGUGAAAGCCCGGGGCUCAACCCCGGGUCGGCCGUGCGAACUGUCGAGCUGGAGCACUGUAGAGGCAGGUGGAAUUCCGGGUGUAGCGGUGGAAUGCGUAGAGAUCCGGAAGAACACCGGUGGCGAAGGCGGCCUGCUGGGCAGUGG
rnacentral:rRNA from 1 species